rnacentral:snRNA from 1 species
AUUUUUUUGUACGAUUCCUAAUAAUAUUUGAUUCUUGUCAGCUUAAUAUCUGAUACAGUCCCUAUUAAACUGAUGUUUAGAAAAAGAUGAAGAGUUAGAAGCUUGCUUCACCUUUGACACAGGAUGGCCUGGUAUUGCAGAACUUCAAGGAUUAAUAUAGGCACA